AGAAAUGAAUUAUAUUGAAAAGUAUAUUAAAAUUUAAAUUGUAAUAUUUCAUCACUGUAUUUUUUUUUCAGCAUUUUUGAUCAAAUGAAUGCAGCCUUGAUGAGCAGAAGAGACUUCUUUUAAAAAAACAAUAUCCCAACCCAAACAUUUGAACAGCACUAUAUUGAUCUUCAUCAGUAAUGCCAGUUGGACAUUUUUCUUUCAUUUUAAAUGAAAUGUAAAUCAGCAAAUAUGUAUUUCUUUGAUGCAUUCCGCAAAUACUGAUGGAUUUUAUUGCUGUGGGCUUUGUUCUGAAGAAGGAGGAGAAGAAUGACAAGAUCUCACUAGAGGAUUUGAUAGAGAAUUACUCUGAAAACAUUCUUGGCCUGAAAGAAAAGGAAAAGGCAGGAGAAACUGACUGAAGCAGAGCAGGACAUGGAGAGAAAGAAAGCUGGCAGAGCACUUGGGCUCAGUGGAAGGGAAGGGUUUGAGUUCUGACCUGAGCUUGUUAACGAAGACAAUGAGGAGGCUGAUGAUACUUGGAAUGUGGAGAUGUUUAUUACCAGAGCUCUACCCACAAAUCACAAAGAUGAGUCUAUGGAGGAUCCCAGGGGGAUUUACAGACUGCAUUCUUGGAGAUGUACUUCACCAGUGUUUAACGUCAUGAAUCACUGACAAGCCCAUGCAUGAAUAACAUUUCCUCAAGCUCUAAACAGU
rnacentral:lncRNA from 1 species